UGUGCUACUUUUCACAUUUAAUGAUUCUUUUACCUAAAAGCAUCUCUGUGCCCCAGAAGAGGGGUCCCUAACCAAUGUUUUCUGACCUAGACUCAAUGAAAUUGCUGCACUCUUUUCCUGAGACCCUGCAAGCGUACCUUGGGACAUACAAAACUCCAGACCCUGCAUUCUGGUGGACCAGGUGACCUAACCAGACCAGUAGUCCAUACCAAGGAACCAACUCAACUGGUCUUGUGACCUGGGAACUGACUCAGCACGAGAAGACCAUUUCUGCUUCCCAACCCUAUGUUCUAGUAGAAGACAAUCUGUAUUCUAGUCAACAGUGCUGGAAAAAGAGGAAUGAAGACAGCCCACGCGGUGGAUUCAGUACUUACUAGCCUUGUCUUCUCUGUAAUGAAAGAGUAACUUUUCCUACCCUGUUUUUAUUGCUGAAGUUUUUACUACAUGGAGCUAUUUUUAUAAAUGAAAGUAAAAAAGAAAAAAAAGUAAAGAUUGCAACUACAAACUAAUAUAAUUGACAUAAAGAAUUACCAUCUGUUUAAUGUUCGCUGUGCUGCUGGACUGGCUGUUUCAUACACUUUAUGUCAUUUGUUCCUUGUCAGACUUUGGUUACCAUGAUUCUUUUGGAUAAAAUUGAAAGUUUUGAGAGCAGACAACCACCAUAUUUGAUAGCCAAGGACCCUUUCUGACCCAGAGCCUCAUGUCAUUUCUGAGCUCCUCUUGUUGUCCACGUGAGAGCCCAUCCUAAAGGCAGGAGAAGCAGAGGGGAGACGUGUCACCUAAUUUACGAUCUUGAAGGAUUCCAUGCUGAGGAAAACUGAACACUAAGGAUGCUUCAAGGAUACGUGUCUUGUCGGCCCUGCUGAUUUAUACGUUGAAAACAUGUGUCUUCAUCUGAUUCAGGACAUGGCCCCGCCUUUGGCUGUUCACCGCCAGCCUCUUCAGACACCAUCUCAGUAAAUAUGAAGAGCAGGUGGAAUGUGUUCAGCCCAGGUUUUGCUUUCCAGAGCGGGGGAGGAAUUGGCCUCCUUUUAGCAGCAGAAUCAUGCUCAUCUUUCAAGGCCCAGCCAAGUUCACGGCCGACUCAGAAUUCUUACUACAUCUGUCAGCGCUGAUGGCUCCAUCUGCUGGAUCCCAGAGAUGGAUAGACCUUCGGAGCAGGAGCAGCAUGAGUCGCCAUCAAUAUUUUGAGACUGGUGGAUCCUUCUAUUGCUGCUACCUAUUUUGCUAAAGUGCUAAAAUAAAAAAAAGAUCUGCUAAUGCUGUGUAACCAGUAUUCCA